rnacentral:hammerhead_ribozyme from 1 species
AUCCAUCUGACGAGUCCCAAAUAGGACGAAAUGAGCAUCCUGGAU